AUCUUGGGCAUCCUUGAUGGUGUAAAGCUCCGGCGGUGCAGGAUGAGCCCGCGGCCUAUCAGCUUGUUGGUGAGGUAAUGGCUCACCAAGGCGACGACGGGUAGCCGGCCUGAGAGGGCGACCGGCCACACUGGGACUGAGACACGGCCCAGACUCCUACGGGAGGCAGCAGUGGGGAAUAUUGCACAAUGGGCGAAAGCCUGAUGCAGCGACGCCGCGUGAGGGAUGACGGCCUUCGGGUUGUAAACCUCUUUCAGCAGGGAAGAAGCGAAAGUGACGGUACCUGCAGAAGAAGCGCCGGCUAACUACGUGCCAGCAGCCGCGGUAAUACGUAGGGCGCAAGCGUUGUCCGGAAUUAUUGGGCGUAAAGAGCUCGUAGGCGGCUUGUCACGUCGAUUGUGAAAGCUCGGGGCUUAACCCCGAGUCUGCAGUCGAUACGGGCUAGCUAGAGUGUGGUAGGGGAGAUCGGAAUUCCUGGUGUAGCGGUGAAAUGCGCAGAUAUCAGGAGGAACACCGGUGGCGAAGGCGGAUCUCUGGGCCNUUACUGACGCUGAGGAGCGAAAGCGUGGGGAGCGAAC
rnacentral:rRNA from 1 species